rnacentral:tRNA from 2 species
GGAGGCGUCGCAUAGUGGACUAGUGCGGUUGUCUUGAAAACAACUAGGGCAGCAAUGCCCUCAGAGGUUCGAAUCCUCUCGCCUCCGCCG